rnacentral:rRNA from 1 species
GGGUGGAGCCUGCGGUUUAAUCGGACUCAACGCCGGAAAUCUCACCGGAUAAGACAGCUGAAUGAUAGUCGGGAUGAAGACUCUACUUGACUAGCUGAGAGGAGGUGCAUGGCCGUCGUCAGUUCGUACUGUGAAGCAUCCUGUUUAGUCAGGCAACGAGCGAGACCCACGCGACCAGUUGCCAGCUUGACCUUCGGGUUGAUGGGGACACUGCUCGGACCGCCUCUGCUAAAGGGGAGGAAGGAAUGGGCAACGGUAGGUCAGCAUGCCCCGAAUUAUCCGGGCUACACGCGGGCUACAAUGGUUGGGACAAUGGGUUUCUACCCCGAAAGGUGACGGUAAUCUCCUAAACCCAUUCUU